ensembl:lncRNA
UUUACAAGUUAAAACUUUCUAAAUCGUUUUAUGUUUAAACCUUUUAACAGUGCAAGUGAACAUUUCAUAUCUAUUUUGAAGUCCCUUUAUCCCUUAUGGACUCCCAGCAGUGCCUUCCUCUAACAUGCAGGCACAGGCAGCAGUCUGACGGAUCACUGCUGGUGGGGCCUGUCACAGUGCAGGACUCCGGCUGGCUGCUGUGUGUGGCCACGCAUGAGCGUGCGAGAGAUCAUCGCUACAUCUACCUGUCUGUCUCAGAGGUUGUUCAGGAGCCAUCGUUACCUCAGGACAGAGCAGAUCCCGCAGAUGCCCUGCCUACAGUCCCUCAUGCGCCCUUUCCCCGGUACUUCCCGUUAACCACACCUCCACCAGCAUAUGGACACACCUAAUGGUGCAUGGAACUAAGUGCUGUGGGUUCUGUCAGGUUCAGUAUCGACAGGGCGGGCUCGGCACUGGUUCAAGCGCGUGCCGCUCAGACAGCCAGACUGUACUGCACCGUUCUGCCCUCCUCUGCAGCUGCCUCAGUCAGAAUUCAGUGGACCAAAAACGGAGGCGUCCUUAACACUCCCAGACACUCCCAGGGCUCAGACGGAACACUGGCAAUUAACAACCUAAAAUCAGAUGAUUCUGGGCUCUACACAUGCACUGUCUCUCGCGGAGAACAGCUGGAGCAGCUGCAAAUCCAGCUCAAAGUUUUGGGUUUGAUACACCCUCCUUCUAAAUGCAGUAACUGUCAAAAGCAUACAGGUCCUCCCACUGCA